rnacentral:rRNA from 1 species
GGCGCAUACAAAGAGAAGCGAACUCGCGAGAGCAAGCGGACCUCAUAAAGUGCGUCGUAGUCCGGAUUGGAGUCUGCAACUCGACUCCAUGAAGUCGGAAUCGCUAGUAAUCGUGGAUCAGAAUGCCACGGUGAAUACGUUCCCGGGCCUUGUACACACCGCCCGUCACACCAUGGGAGUGGGUUGCAAAAGAAGUAGGUAGCUUAACCUUCGGGAGGGCGCUUACCACUUUGUGAUUCAUGACUGGGGUGAAGUCGUAACAAGGUAACCGUAGGGGAACCUGCGGUUGGAUCACCUCCUUACCUUAAAGA